UGGCUACAAAAUAACUUAUUUUGUAGCCACUUUGAGUUACGAUAAUUACUAUAUUAAUUUACAAUAUUAUAGUAACUCCUUACUAAGUGGUUUACUACAACAUUACGGUAUACUACAACAUUACGGUAAAUAUAUCCAUGUGUUAUAGUAACCCAACUAUCGUAAAUAUGUAUACAUAUUAUCGUAAAUUAGUAUAUAAAAUUAUCGUAAAUGGAGGUGGCUACAGAAUAACAUAUUUUGUAGCUA
rnacentral:pre_miRNA from 1 species